rnacentral:lncRNA from 1 species
AAAAACAGUAUCAGGACAUUCACUGCAACAAAUUUACAAUAUUAGAAAUCGGAAACAACCUAGAUGCCCAUGAUUGGAACAGAUAAAUAAAUAGUCUUCUAAUCUUACAUUGGAAUACUAUACUGCAGUGAAAUGAAUGGAGCCAAGUUACAUUAUCAGCAUAGAUUGAACAAACAAAUUAAGUUGCAGAAGGAUAUAUACAAUAUGAAACACUUUAUAAGGGGUUAAAAUAUGAAAAAAUCCUGACAUUAUUACAAAUACAUUAUUUAUUCAACAGUCAAUAAAUACUUUUUGAAAACCUGCCAUGUGCCAUGUGUUGCUCUAGGUGCUGGUGAUGUAUCAGUGAACAGAGAAAAGUACUUGCUUUCUGGGAACUCACAUUCUACAGAUAUACCUACACAUGCAGCAGAAAUAGAAAGACAAAUAUGGGAUUGACAAACACUGAAUUCAGAACGGGGACAUCUCUGGGGACAGGCCAGAGGAAUGUGACUAAAGAGGGGAUGCACAGAGGUUUUCAGUUAUUUGCAAUGUUUUAUUUCUUAAGCUUGGCAGUGGAUAAAUGAUGUUUGUUAUAUCAUUCUCUAUAGCUUUUAGUCUGUAUGAAAUAUUUUAUACAAUCUAUUUAAUUUUGCUUCCUAGUUUAGUGUCCACAAAUUUCUUUUCUUUUUAAUAAAAACACAUUUGCCUCCACAGAUAAAAUGAGAUCAAAUGAAACAUAGGAAGAUAAAUGGAUAUGUUCUGGACUCUGGCUAAUCAAUUAGCCCUAAGGCCCCAGGGCCAAUGGAGAUAGCCAGGAAUUGCUGGCUGCCUGAACCAACUGUGUAGACCACCAAUGACUUUCAACAUCAAGCACAAGUGUUUCCUGCAGAGCCGGGAGGCAAACCCGGCCAUUCCAGCUUCCCGGCUCCAGCUGAUCCUCAUAGGACUUGCCCCAAACCCUCGACUUACCUAUUGGAACAGGACUCAGUGUGUCAGCUACAACUUGCUAAGUCCUCAAAUUAUAAUCAGCACUGUGUUACUGAAAUAUACUGCCUUGGGAAUGGCACAUUUUAAUUUUAAAUCGGCUUUACAAAUAUAAGCUAACACAUGCUUCAUCUAAAUGUAAUAUUUAUUGACCAAUGACCUGAACAAUAACAACAACAACAACAAUAACAACAAACAAGAAAACAAUCCCAUUUAUGAUAGCAUCAAAGAAGUAAAAUAUUUAGGAAUAAAUUUAACGAAGGAAGUGAAAGACCUGUAUACUGAAAGCUAUAAAAUAUUGAUGAAGGAAAUUAAAAGGAUACAAAUAAGUGCUCAUGGAUCAGAGUAAUUAAUAUUGUGAAAAUGGCCAUACAACCUAAAGCAAUAUAUAUAUUCAAUACAAUCCCUAUAAAAAUCCCAAAGAUAUUUUUCUCAGAAAUAGAAAAAGCAAUUCUAAAAUUUGUAUUUAUCCACAAAAGAUCCUGAAUACCCAAAGCAAUUCUGAGAGGAAAAACAAAGUUGGUGGCAUCACACUUCCUGAUUUGAAAUUAUAUUACAAAGCUAUAGUAAUCAAAACAGUAGGAUACUGGCAUAAAAACAGAAAUAUAGACCAGUGGAACAGAAUAGAGUCCAGAAAUAAUUGCAAACAUAUAUGGUCAACCAAUUUUCAGCAAGGGCACCAAAAAGACACAAUGGGGAAAGGAUAGUCUCUGCAAUAAAUGGUGCUAGGGAAGCUAGAUUUCCACUUGCAAAAGAGUGAAAUUGGACUCUUAUUUUAUACCAGAUACAAAACUCAACUCAAAAUGGAUAAGAGACCCAAAAGUAAGACUGAAAUAAUAAAACUCCUAAAAGAAAACACAGGAGAAAAGAUCUUGACAUUGGCCUUGGCAAUGAUUUAUUGUGUAUUACACCAAAAGCUCAGGCUACAAAAGCAAAAAUAAAUACAUGGAACUACAUCAAACUAAAAAGCUGCACAGUGAACGAAACAAUAAAAAAUAGGAAAGGCUGACCAGGCGUGGUGGCUCAGGGCUGCAAUCCCAGCACUUAGGGAGGCCGAGGAAGGUGGAUCACUUGAGGUCAGGAGUUCAAGACCAGCCUGGCCAACAUGGUGAAACCCCAUCUCUACUAAAAAUACAAAAAUUAGCCGGGUAUGGUGGCAGGUGCCUGUAAUCCCAGCUACUCAGGAGGCUGAGGCAGGAGAAUCGCUUGAACCUGGGAGGCAGAGGUUGCAGUGAGCUGAGAUCAUGCCACUGCACUCCAGCCUGGGUGACAAAGUGAGACUCUGUCUCAAAAAAAUAAAGUAUGAAAGGUUAACCUACAGAUUAGGAAAAAGUAUUUGCAAACCAUAUGUCAGAUAAGUGGUUAAUAUUCAAGAUUUGUAAAGAACUCAUACACUCUGGUAGCAGGAAAAUAUAUAAGCUGAUUACAAAAUGGGCAAAGGACUUGGAUAGACAUUUCUCCAAAGAUGAUAUUAAAAAUGGCCAACAGGUACAUGAAAAGGUACUCAACAUCCCUAAUAAUGAGGAAAAUGCAAAUAAUAACCACCAUGAGAUACCACUUCACACUUGUUAGGAUUGCUACUAUCAGACAACAUAACAAGUGUUGGUGAGGGUGUGAAGAAAAGGGAAUACUUUUGUAUACUGUUUGUGGGAAUGUAUAAUACUGUAGUCAUUAUGAAAAACAACAUGGAGGUUCCUAAAGAAAUUUAAAGUAGAACUACCAUAUGAUGCAGCAAUCUCUUCCUUUCAUACCCAAAGGAAAUGUAAUCACCACCGCAUAAAGAUGUCUGUACUGCCAUGCUCAUUGCAGCAUUUUUCACAAUAGCCAAGAUAUGGAAACAAUCUAGAUAUACCAAUAGAAUAUCAUUCAUCUGUAAAAGAGAAAGAGAUCCUGCCAUUUGUCACAACAUGGAUGGAUCUGGAGGACAUUCUGCUAAGUGAAAUAAGCCAGACACAGAAAAAUAUUGCAUGAUCUCUCACUUAUAUGUGGAAUCUUUAAAUAAAGAUCAGAUAUUGGCCAGCGAUGGUGUUUUAUACCUGAUAAUCCCAGCACUUUGGGAGGCCAAGGUGGGAGGACUGCUUGAGCCCAGGAGUUCAAGACCCCUGGGGUCAAGAAAGUGAGACCCUCCCCCCAAUCUCUACAGAAAAG